GGACUACUGGGGUAUCUAAUCCCGUUUGCUCCCCUAGCUUUCGCGCCUCAGCGUCAGAAGAGAUCCAGUGCGCCGCUUUCGCCUCCGGCGUUCCUUCCAAUAUCAACGCAUUUCACCGCUCCACUGGAAGUUCCGCACACCCCUAUCUCCCUCUAGGCAAACAGUAUCAGAGGCACUUCUACAGUUGAGCUGCAGGAUUUCACCCCUGACUUGUUUGACCGCCUACGCGCCCUUUAAGCCCAGUGAUUCCGAACAACGUUUGGACAGUUCGUCUUACCGCGGCUGCUGGCAC
rnacentral:rRNA from 3 species